rnacentral:misc_RNA from 1 species
GAAUGAAGAACGUAGCGAAAUGCGAUACGUAGUGUGAAUUGCAGAAUUCAGUGAAUCAUCGAAUCUUUGAACGCACAUUGCACCUCUCGGUAUUCCGGGAGGUAUGCCUGUUCGAGCGUCAUUUGUACCCUCAAGCUCUGCUUGGUGUUGGGUGUUUGUUCCGCCUCUGUGUGUGAACUCGCCUCAAAACAAUUGGCAGCCGGCGUACUUGUUUCGGAGCGCAGCACAUUUUGCGAUCCAGAUCAACGUACAGCGGCAUCCAAGAAGCCUUAUUUAACGCUCUUGACCUCGGAUCAGGUAGGGAUACCCGCUGAACUUAAGCAUAUCAAUAAGCGGAGGA